AAAAAUUUAGUUAAAAAAAAAAUAACGUUAGCUUGUCAAGCUAAAAUUAUUAUAAAUAAUAAUUUUUA
rnacentral:tRNA from 1 species